GUGCUUGCUACGGCAAGCGGCACAUAUACUAAAAUUGGAACGAUAUGGAGAACAUUAGCAUGGCCUCUGUGCAAGGAUGACACACAAAAUCGUGAAGCGCUACCUUAUUUU